CCUACGGGAGGCAGCAGUGAGGAAUAUUGGUCAAUGGGCGCGAGCCUGAACCAGCCAAGUAGCGUGAAGGAUGACUGCCCUACGGGUUGUAAACUUCUUUUAUAAAGGAAUAAAGUGAGGCACGUGUGCCUUUUUGUGUGUACUUUAUGAAUAAGGAUCGGCUAACUCCGUGCCAGCAGCCGCGGUAAUACGGGGGAUGCAAGCGUUAUCCGGAUUUAUUGGGUUUAAAGGGUGCGUAGGCGGGGAGUUAAGUCAGCGGUGAAAGGCCCCGGCUCAACGGGGUGAAGGGCCGUUGAUACUGGCUGGCUGGAAAGCGGAUGAGGUGGGAGGAAUGUGUGGUGUAGCGGUGAAAUGCAUAGAUAUCACGCAGAACACCGAUUGCGAAGGCAUCUCACGGGCCCGCGAUUGACGCUGAGGCACGAAAGCGUGGGUAUCAAACAGGAUUAGAUACCCUGGUAGUC
rnacentral:rRNA from 1 species